GACGUAGGUGGCAAGCGUUGUCCGGAUUUAUUGGGUUUAAAGGGUGCGUAGGCGGCUUUGUAAGUCAGUGGUGAAAUACGGUAGCUCAACUAUCGAGGUGCCAUUGAUACUGCGGAGCUUGAGUACAGAUGAGGUAGGCGGAAUUGACGGUGUAGCGGUGAAAUGCUUAGAUAUCGUCAAGAACACCUAUAGCGAAGGCAGCUUACUAGGCUGUAACUGACGCUGAGGCACGAAAGUGUGGGUAGCAAACAGG
rnacentral:rRNA from 1 species